CACAGCUCUGACUCAUACAGGAUUCAGGAGGGUGGAAACAAUCUCUAACCCACACACUCUCUUACCAUUGUGGCGAUCCUGUGGAUGAGAGAGGAUAAACACAGUAGAAAUACAGUACUUUCACUUGGAGCUGAGGACCUAAGCCCUAGGAUCAUGCCUCUGGACGACCUGGCGUGAUGACUCCUGGCUGUCCCCAGUCCACCUGGUUGUGCUGCUGCUCCAGUUUCAACUGUUCUCCCUGCGGCUAGGGAACCCUGACCUGUUCACCAGACGUUCUACCCUGUCCUGUACCUGCUGUUUUCGACUCUCUCUCUCUCUACUGCACCUGCUGUCUCAACCUCUGAAUGUUCAGCUAUGAAAAGCCAACUGACAUUUACUCCUGAGGUACUGACCUGUUGCACCCUCUACAACCACUCUGAGUAUUAUUUGACCCUGCUGGUCAUCUAUGAACGUUUGAACAUCUUGAAGAACAAUCUGGCUUUAAAUAGCCAUGUACUUUUAUAAUCCCCACCUGGCACAGCCAGAAGAGGACUGGCCUCCCCUCACAGCCUGGUUCCUCUCUAGGUUUCGUCCUAGGAUCCUGCCUUUCUAGGGAGUUUUUCCUAGCCACUGUGCUUCUACAUCUGCAUUUCUUGCUGUUUGGGGUUUUAGACUGGGUUUCUGUCACAUUCUGACAUCUGCUGAUGUAAAAAGGGCUUUAUAAAUACAUUUGAUUGACUGAUUGACUGCAGAGAAUAUGAGGGUCUUUGAGAAAAACAACUUGAAUUAUAUCAUACCAGUAUACAUUAACUUACACACUCAUGCUGACAAAAAGCUGCAAACACAUACACCACUCUGUCUAUGCAAAUGUGCACAAUGCCACAAGGAGCUCUCUACCACUCCCAAGAUUUCCUCAGAUAUCUUCAAAGCAUUUCAGAACUCCUGCAAAGCCUUGGUUUAUUUAGAGGCAUCGGAUCAACAGUGUGGCACCGGGGGAGCCUGAGCUGUCUCAUCCGUUUGUCACCAGGAGUUGUGUUCUUAUUUUCCACUUCCACAUAUCCAAGUCUAUUCCUCCCUUCCUCCACCUACCUUUCUCCCCUACCCCCUACCCCCUACCUCCUCACAGCGGAAGUUCGUCAAAUAACCGAGCAACACUUCAAAAACAGGAGCUGGGGUGUUGUCCUCUAAAAAUCUCAGCAGGGUCUGUCCGUCUCAGCGAGGAAAAGGGGGAGAGGUGAGACAAGAGAGAAAAGAGAAGAGAGCAUAGAGGAGAGAGGGGACAGAGAGGGGAGAGAGAAGAGAGAGGAGAGGGGAAGGAGAGGGGAGAGAUCAGAGAGGAGAUGAAGAGGAGAGAGGGGAGAGAUUAGAGAGGAGAUGAAGCAGGGAGAAAGAAGAGAGGGGAUGGAGAGGGGAGGGGAGGGGAAGGAGAGGGGAGAGAGGGAGAGAGGGAGAGAGAGAAAGAAAGAGAGAGGGAGGAGGGAGAGUGAGAGAGGGAGGAGAGAGAGAGAGAGGGGAGAGGGGAGGGAGAGGGGAGAGAUAAGAGAGGGGAGAGGGGAGGGAGAAGAGAGGGGAGGGAGAACAGAGGGAAGAGGGGAGGAAUGAUUGGAGAGGAACACAAUGCCCAAGAGAAAGCCAAAGAAAAAAGGUCUCUCAAAGAGUUGGAAACUUUUUCAUCCAAAAAAGAACCCUUUCUGGUUAGUGUAUUUAUGACACUGCAGCAUUUAGAGAGAAGGGUUUAGUCUCACUCUUCUCCUCUUGGCAGCUCCCCACCGGGCACAAACUGGUUAAAUCAGCGUCAUUUAAAUGUAAUUUGUCACUGCAUUGUGAUGUGGAAUCUAUGUGAAAAAUACAUAGGAUUUGUUUUUGCAAUUAUUAACGUAAACUGUUGUUUUUAGGGUAUACAUUUUACCACUUGAUUAUGUCAUCAUGGUAACAUAUUUUCAACAUAGACAAACCUUGUGUAAAAUACGUGGAAUUUGUACCUUUGUAACAAUGUCAGAUUUUCAACGUUAUGUCCACUUACAAAAUAAAACUAUAGGCCUG
rnacentral:lncRNA from 1 species